GUUUAGCCCCGAUUGUAGCAAUUGUUUGAGCUCUUUUUUGUUUUUUCCUUUUAAAAAACAAAAAAAGCGAGUGCGGAAAGCGGGAAAUAGC
rnacentral:sRNA from 1 species